AAAGUCCUAAAUAAAGACAGCAACUUCAUGCAAGGAUAAGCUUGAGGAAAAACAUAAAACAAAAUAAUCAGAAAAUACUGAAAACAGCAAACCUGUUUUUGGAUCAGUAUAUUGAAUGAUAAGGAAAGCUAACAAAUCGACCAAAGAUAUCAAACCCCAAUUGCUGAGUAAUGCAGCUGCAAGAAAUGAAAAAGAGACUGCUGUUAACCUAAUGUAACUUGCAUGACUUUGGUUAGAAUUAAAGAUAAGAAAACCUAGGAACACAUACAAUCACCACUACAGUUUCAAGACUAAGAUGGUGAUUCCAAGCUAUUCCUAAAUAUCAUCCACGUGAAAAGUGCAACCUCUAAAGUACACGCUAAUAUUCUUGUGACUAGUAAGGACUAAGGAGUAGUAGCCCAAUGUAUUUUCUUGAUGACAAAAUUUAGAAAGUUCUCACAUCUAAGUUCACGUGGAAAGUGCCUUUGAGGUUUGUAAUUUGUAUUUCUCUUCUCUGGUUGUGAGGCACUCCCUCACUUAACUUUUUCAGCUGUAUUUCAAACCUUCUACCUAAAUUAAUAAAAGUUUUAUUCAGCUAAAAAAAGUCUAGAAAACUGUUUUAGGCUCUUUUGUAUGAAAAAAAAAUCAUAAUGUCCACCUAGGUUUUCUUCUAAUAUUGCUGCUUCAUGAACAAUGGUUGGUGCUUUACUAGGCACAAACACUGCAUAGCUUCCAACUAUAUUUGGGCAACAAGGGUUUUAUUAGAGGGUAUAAAAUACACAGAAGACUUUCACCAACAAGGGUUUCAUUAGAGGCUUAGAGCUUGAAAGUAUUUGGGCAGCGUAGCCUGUAGAUUGAUCAUCAAUGAUUAGGUCUGACAUUUUGGUUUCAGUCUAUCAUUAUAUUAGUUACAAUCCUAGAUUAAGUGAUUAGCUUUCUGCUCCAUAGCUGCUAGGCAACUUAUGCAUCUACUUUUUGUUUGGAUGGGUUUUAUUCAUGAGUUGGUUAGAAAGGUCAUCUUGUUGGUUUCGGGGUUAGGCAUAAUGGCCCCAGCACUCUUAGAAGAAACGAAAAAGGGUUGUGAGUUCAACAGCUAAUAUCAAAGAUCUGUUUACCUCUAAUAAGGACUCUAAUAAGCCAAGCAGUUCAUUCUAUUCCUGGGAGUCUAUAUCUUGAGACCAUAGCUGCAAGAUGCUACUAUUUGGCUAUGUAACAUUGACGCAUGUACGAGUGUCAGUGUCGGACACGGGUACGAAGUGUCCGACAUGGCUUUCAAAAACAAGUCGACACGGGGAUAUGGAUUGUGAUUUAUUUAUAAUUCAUUAUUUAGACAUAAAACAUAACACUUCACCUUUCUUUAAAUGUUUUAUUUAAUUGUAGUCAGAUGAAGGGAUAGAUUCUUGCUCAUCCCUCGCCUUUUCUUCAUAUAUCAAGGUUUAUAGCAAACUCUAACCCGAAUCAUGCAUAAGUUUGUAAGUGUGUCCAUGUGUGUCCGACAUGUGUCCAUGUGUAUCCGAGACGUGUAUUGAGUGUCCGUGUAGGGAUACACGAAUUUUUUUGACAAUAUGGUGUGUAGGGUCUAGCAGACAAGAUAGACUAAGGCUCCAUUUGACAUUUCCGAAGUUAUACACUGCUAUUUCCUUUAAAUCGGUACCUUUAAUCAAGUUAAACAGCCUUCACUACCUAAUUCAGACAUGUACAAGAAAAUGAUAAUAAGAGGCUUGAAGAUUAUUGAUAACACUACGAGCAUCUCCAAUAGUCUUAUGUGGUUAUCUUCACUAGACAUUGUGGUUCCUACUUGGCACACAAACUAGCCUAUAGACAUGUCAAUUGAAAUACCAUCCAAUGCAAGCUUAUAUAGUAGGACAACAUCUCUUAUGUGCAUUUUCCUAUUUGAUGAGAGAUUUUUGAAUCUAAAAUAUUUCAACACAUUUAUUUUUUAAAGAGGUGUGGCAAACAAGACAAUGUCUAGAGAUCCUCUAGAUGUAGAUGGUCUACUUCACAAUGUCUACAAUGUUCAUGUCUAUCCAUAAUUGCAUUGGAGAGUAUUUUUUUCUCUCAUUGUCGAUCCUACAUGGCAUUCUUUUUUUUCCUAAUUCCAUGGUUGCAUUGGAGAUGCUCUAGUCACCUUCUAAAAUCUGGAGCAUCAAUACACACUGACACACAUGUCCUGACUUAUCAGUUCAGGGACAAAAAGGAAUGAUCAAAGGAGUAACAGCUGUAAAUAUUGGGAAAAGCAGAUUAAGAUUCUCAGCAAUCCUGAAUGAAAAAGACAUGCCCCGCAAAGAAUAUGAUACCAGCAAGGGAGAACAGCGAUAUAAAGCAGAAGCGGUCAAGUGGACGAAGUCUUAUAAACAUUUAUACCUCAUUUUAUUACUGUCAUGUCACUGCAACAUCUUCCCUCUUCCUUGGUCAAAUAAAUAUGUGGUAAGCCAUAUGCACAAGAUGCCUAAGUUCCUAAGUCCUAACAGUGACACCAACCUAACAUACAAGGUUGCAAACUAUUCCCUCAUGGUCCCAUGGCUCUCCAAGCCCAUCCCACUGAUUUUCUGAACCAAACUGUUCUCACCUUCCACUUAGCUACUCAAAUACAUUACUCUAUUAUGUCGGAAUAUACAGUCUAGCAGCCCUUAUCACUUACCAACUCAAUCACUCACCUAAUUGAAAUUGAACUGUUCACCGAGAGUUCGAUAACACUAAGAUCAACUGUUUCGUGUUUUCUUAACCUUAAAAACACACAAAUGCCAAUAACCUAAACAAAUAAUAGUAAAAAAGUGUACCUGUUAGUAGUAGCAGAGGCAAUAAGACCCCGCCAAGGAAACUUCCCAUGGCGAGCUCUUUUACUCUUUUCUUCCUCAACACAAUCGCCUACUUUUCUUCAUUGUUCUCAUAAAGAACACAAGUUCGAAACCUUCGUUAACAAAAACAAAACCCUAAUCAAUAAAUCUCACCAAAAUUUACAAAAUCAAAUAUCAAACAAAGAUAUAAGCAAAAAUGUUCACAGAACUAUAAACAACUUCACCUUCAAAAACUUUCUUCUGCUGCUUCUCUAACUUCUAAUAUCCAGCAAUAACAAACACACAGAGAAGAAGAAGAAGAAGAAGAAGAAGAAGAAGAAUAAGAAUUUUCUUCUUGAAAUAGUGAUUUCAGCUUUAAUCAAAAUGUGAAUCUCGAAAACAAUUGGUCGAAAGUAUGAACACAAUUCAAUGAAACAUGAGAAUAUGAGAUUGAUUGAAUGAAUGAAUUCGAAGGUUUAAGAAGAAAUCAAAACAAUCAAUUUGAACUUCGAAAAGAAUUUAGGAAAGAAAGAGAUCGAGAAGAAGAAAGAAGAAAGAAAAACGAAUUAUGGAAGAUUUGAGAAUAACCGCGCUUCACGCUUGAACUCGACUAAUCUCUGCUUGGUUUCGUUAAAGCAAAGCAGGCAAG
rnacentral:lncRNA from 1 species